GGCUUGACGGGAAAAUUCAAAAUCGCGAACCGUUACAGCAUGGACUACUCGCUGUCUUUGUUUGCUUGCACAUCAACAGUAAGAGGUCAUGUACACUGUGGUCAACUUUGUGGACGCUGAAGAGGUUUCUGGGUAAAGAUGAUAGAAAUAUAAUGAAGUAACAGUGGAAGCUAAAACAUCAGACUGAUCCAGACACUGAAGAAAUUGAUGUCACUGCAAUCUGGCCAAAAUGAUACAACUAUAUUGAAGUAGCCUACUGUAAUGAAGCUGCAGAACAACACAGAGACUCUGAGGACAUCAACACAGAAAAUCAAGGCUCCAAAGAGAUGUCUGUCCAGAUGAGGGUGCAUCAACGUUACCUUUGCUGACAAGUAUAUGCUUUUAGCAGUUAACUUAACUCAAACCAUUUAAGGAAAUCGGUUGCCUUAAACCUUUAAGUUUAAAAAAAAACAUACAUUUGAGUAAUGUGAACUUAAGUCUUGUGCAGUUAUGCACUUAUAUUUAGGUAGUGUGAACUUAAACAAAUUGAGUCACAUGCAGUUAAGCACUUAUAUUUAAGUUCACAAUACUCAAAUCUAUGUGUUUUAAAACUUGAAUGGUUUAAUGCAACCGGUUUUCUUAAAUGUGAGAAAUUACAGUGUUACAGUGAGAAAUGUUUGAAUAAUUCCAAGACGGAGCUCUGUGAUUAAUUCUACACUGCAAAAAAAUCACUUUCUAACACUUUUUAUCUUGUUUUCAGUAGAAAAACUAAAAAUUCUUAAAUCGAGAUGUAUUUUCUUGAUGAGCAAAAUUACCUUAGAAAAUAUGUCUAGUUUUUAGACAAAAAUAUACAAUUUAAGAUAAUUUGUGCCUAAACAAGAAAAAAUAUCUAACAAUGGGGUGAGAAAAUUGUGUUUUAACUAAGUUUUUAAGGUAAAAGAAAACGUAAGAUUUUUUUCUCACACUAUUGGAAGAUAUUUUUGCUUGUUUU